rnacentral:lncRNA from 1 species
UGAAGACGAUAUUAUUAAACCCGAACUUGAUGUAAGAAUAUCAAACCCUUACAACUCAAUUUAAACAUAAAAAUAAUCCAACACACUUUAAUGAAUACCCCAUCAUAUGUGAGAGAAUAAUUCUCCACUUUAUUCUCACAAACAAACACCUCGAUACUACUACCCAAUCCCGUUCUAAGGAUCUUACCUGCAUAUAAUUCAUCAAAGAGAAAUAAGAAGAAAACAUGGGGUGAGAUAAGUUUCAAAUUACUUCAAGUGGUAUAAUAAUUUCAAUAUAUAGAAACAAACACACAAAAGUACAUUUGAAAAACUAAUAAUACAACUAAUUGAAUUUAGUGAAAUUGUGCUUAAUUUAGGAGCUACAUUAAAUGUAUACACCAACCAUAUUUUAUCAACACAAAUUUCAAGGCCAACUACCAUAAUACAACUAAUUGAAUUUAGUGAAAUUUGAAGAAAAUUUUUAGGGUUAAGUUUUUAGGUCUCUAUAAAAAAAUUGGGCAUGUUAUGGUUCCUAUAAAAAUUUUAUGCAUGCAGUUUUAGUUCCUGUUAUUUAUCAAAAUUGUUUAAUUAUUCUUAAUUUUUUUAUAUUUUUGAAUAAUUAUUUUUCAGAUAUUUUAACAAUUCUAUAAAAAAUAAAGAUAAAAGAAAUGAAUAUCUCAAAUUAGAAGUCAUAUAUUUAGCUCCUGUUUUUUUUAGGAACUUCUUAUAUUGUUCUGAACAAGUCUUCAAAAUAAUCAAUAAAAAAUGCACAUUGGUUUAAGAUUAGGGAUUAAAACUACGUGUAUAAUAAUUUUAUAGAGACUAUGUCAAUUUAUAGAGAAGAAAACAAAAUUUGAUAAUGUUAUAAAAAUCUAAAAAUAUUUAACCCGAAUUUUUAUUCGUAUUAAAUUUCAACCAAUUUUAGUUGUUAAAAUUGUUAUUGCAACCAAAACCUUUUGUUCACUUAAGUUGCUUCCGGUCCUUUGUCUUGUUAAUGGCCAAGGCGUAUUUUGAAGUCAUUCACUUUGAGUCUUUCUAAAUUGUUUCCUAAUCGUUGCCUAUCAUUUAGCAACGAUUUUUUUUCCAUUGCCUUGGUUUGAACAGAUUUACGUUUUUUUUAUAUAAGUGAAUGCUCCGAAAUUUUCAUAUUUAAUUACUGUUUGUGAAUUCAAAUUUUAAUUUUCUCUGUCCUUUAUAAGGAAGGUGAUUAUAUAGAUGCAUACAAAUUAGAAUAUCUCACUCUCUAACUAUGAUGAUAUUAUCAAGUUAGUAGAUGAUAGUUGUACAAAGACAUCCCGAAGAUAAGUGUAAAACUCAAUAAUAUUAUAACUUAUAUUGCUUAUGUAUCACAAUAUAUGUCACUUUGGGGAAAAAAAUUGUAUCGUAAUAUAUGUCGCUUUAUAUUAGCAAAGAAGUAUUUAAUGUUUUUUUUCCUAUUGUUUGUUCAAAUUUUUUUUUCCAAUUAUACCCAUAACUAUUUAUUACUCUCUCUUCUUUCAAUUCUUUAAUUUAUUUUUUUCAUACCAUAAAUGAAGGACAAUUUUGUAAAUCAACUCAUAAUCUCUCUUUUCCAUACAACAUUAAUUAACUUUCUUAAUAUAUGUAAAAGUGCUAAAGCGACAUAUAUUGUGGUACGGAGGGAGUAACAAACAUAUGAUGAUACUAUCAAUAAUAUUUUCAUUAGAUAACUGACCCAUAUAUAUAUACUCCAAAUUAUCAAAUUUAUUCACAAAACAUAUUUCAAACUAUAAUGUUUUACUUUUUCAAUUUUUCUUAAUAUAUAAGUGUGAUUUUUUUUUCUUCUUAUAAUUUGGGACGGAGGAAGUAUAUUAGAGAAAUUAUAAGAUUAACAUUAAGAUGAGCAAUGAAAAUGGAAGGUCAUGAUAGAGAAAUAAGACUUACUAUCUUAACCUUUUACAUUCAUUUCUAAAGCACGCCAUUGUUCCACGAGGAGCAUUUGGAAAGCUUAUAUAGCAAUCUUCGUCAGUUUCGCACUUUGCUUUAUUGUAUGUA